rnacentral:rRNA from 1 species
CAUUUAGAGGAAGUAAAAGUCGUAACAAGGUCUCCGUAGGUGAACCUGCGGAGGGAUCAUUACACAAAUAUGAAGGCGGGCUGGAACCUCUCGGGGUUACAGCCUUGCUGAAUUAUUCACCCUUGUCUUUUGCGUACUUCUUGUUUCCUUGGUGGGUUCGCCCACCACUAGGACAAACAUAAACCUUUUGUAAUUGCAAUCAGCGUCAGUAACAAAUUAAUAAUUACAACUUUCAACAACGGAUCUCUUGGUUCUGGCAUCGAUGAAGAACGCAGCGAAAUGCGAUAAGUAGUGUGAAUUGCAGAAUUCAGUGAAUCAUCGAAUCUUUGAACGCACAUUGCGCCCUUUGGUAUUCCAAAGGGCAUGCCUGUUCGAGCGUCAUUUGUACCCUCAAGCUUUGCUUGGUGUUGGGCGUCUUGUCUCUAGCUUUGCUGGAGACUCGCCUUAAAGUAAUUGGCAGCCGGCCUACUGGUUUCGGAGCGCAGCACAAGUCGCACUCUCUAUCAGCAAAGGUCUAGCAUCCAUUAAGCCUUUUUUUCAACUUUUGACCUCGGAUCAGGUAGGGAUACCCGCUGAACUUAAGCAUAUCAAUAAGCGGAGGAA